rnacentral:rRNA from 1 species
AUUGAACGCUGGCGGCAUGCCUUACACAUGCAAGUCGAACGGUAACGGGCCUUCGGGUGCCGACGAGUGGCAAACGGGUGAGUAAUACAUCGGAACGUGCCCGAUCGUGGGGGAUAACGAGGCGAAAGCUUUGCUAAUACCGCAUACGAUCUACGGAUGAAAGCAGGGGACCGCAAGGCCUUGCGCGGACGGAGCGGCCGAUGGCAGAUUAGGUAGUUGGUGGGAUAAAAGCUUACCAAGCCGACGAUCUGUAGCUGGUCUGAGAGGAUGAUCAGCCACACUGGGACUGAGACACGGCCCAGACUCCUACGGGAGGCAGCAGUGGGGAAUUUUGGACAAUGGGCGCAAGCCUGAUCCAGCCAUGCCGCGUGCAGGAUGAAGGCCUUCGGGUUGUAAACUGCUUUUGUACGGAACGAAAAGCCUUCUUUUAAUACAGGAGGGUCAUGACGGUACCGGAAGAAUAAGCACCGGCUAACUACGUG